rnacentral:rRNA from 1 species
GACGAACCGCGUGGCGGCGUGCCUAACACAUGCAAGUCGAACGGGAGGCAAGUGACUUCGGUAUUUGCUUUAGUGGCGAACGGGUGAGUAACGCGUGAAUAACCUGCCUUUCAGUGGGGGACAACAGUCGGAAACGACUGCUAAUACCGCAUGACGCUUCUUGGGGGCAUCCCUGAGAAGUCAAAGCUUUAUGUGCUGAAAGAUGGAUUCGCGUCUGAUUAGCUAGUUGGUAAGGUAACGGCUUACCAAGGCAACGAUCAGUAGCCGACCUGAGAGGGUGACCGGCCACAUUGGGACUGAGACACGGCCCAA